GACAGAGGGUGCAAACGUUGCUCGGAAUUACUGGGCGUAAAGCGCGUGUAGGCGGUUCCGCAAGUCAGGUGUGAAAGCCCCGGGCUCAACCUGGGAACCGCGCUUGAGACUGGCACGCUAGAGUUCGGGAGAGGAUGGUGGAAUUCCCAGUGUAGAGGUGAAAUUCGUAGAUAUUGGGAAGAACACCGAUGGCGAAGGCAGCCAUCUGGACCGACACUGACGCUGAGGCGCGAAAGCGUGGGGAGCAAACAGG
rnacentral:rRNA from 1 species